AUUGAACGCUGGCGGCAUGCUUUACACAUGCAAGUCGAACGGCAGCGCGGACUUCGGCCUGGCGGCGAGUGGCGAACGGGUGAGUAAUGCAUUGGAACGUGCCCAGUAGUGGGGGAUAGCCCGGCGAAAGCCGGAUUAAUACCGCAUACGACCUGAGGGUGAAAGCGGGGGACCGAAAGGCCUCGCGCUAUUGGAGCGGCCGAUGUCGGAUUAGCUAGUUGGUGGGGUAAAGGCUUACCAAGGCGACGAUCCGUAGCUGGUCUGAGAGGACGACCAGCCACACUGGGACUGAGACACGGCCCAGACUCCUACGGGAGGCAGCAGUGGGGAAUUUUGGACAAUGGGGGCAACCCUGAUCCAGCCAUGCCGCGUGCGGGAAGAAGGCCUUCGGGUUGUAAACCGCUUUUGUUCGGGAAGAAAUCCUCUGGGCUAAUACCCCGGGGGGAUGACGGUACCGGAAGAAUAAGCACCGGCUAACUACGUG
rnacentral:rRNA from 1 species